AGUGAGAAAUGACCAUGGGUGACUCCUUACCCUGAAAGGCACACGAUCAACAAGACCGAAGAGGAGGAGGUGGUAGCGGAGGUGUAGGGGAGGGGGUGGCAGAAGGGAGGCUGUUCCUCAGACGGCGCAGAGCGCUCUCUUCUCGUCUCCCCUCAUCAUUGGUAUGCAGUGACUGUUCCCCAGGCGACAGGGCCACUGGGUUGGGGCUAAACUGACUGCAGGAGAGUCAGGUCUACAAAGUAAAUGAGAGGAGAGCAAGACAGCAGGUAAGGGUAAUGAGAACAGGCAGAGAGAGGGAGGGAGGAGGACAAGAGAAAGGCGGAAGGGAAGCUAGAUGUCCCAAGGGGCUUUGGGGGUGAGGCACCGCCUGACCCCUCACACUCCGUACACUGUCCAGGCCCACACACAUACACACACACAUAUUAAUGCUUAAACUCCCGACCAGAUACAUUAUGUUCAAGUGCACAUCAUGUAUCCAAAAAACAAUAACAUAUCAGUUAGGCUAAUGUUUUUUUUUGCAAGAGCUUUUAUGACUAUAUAGUGAUAAUGUACUGUUUCUUGAGAUGUGUGCAUAUGAUUUCCUCAAAUAUUUGUAUUUUAUUAUGUUAUUCCAUAAAACAUUAAUCUUUAAAAAUAUAUUUGAAUAUAUUUGUAAAAAAAAGCAAAUGAUAGAAUGCAAAUAGUGUAAAAUGUCAUUACAAAUAAAAAAAAGUGUGAAAAUAAACUGAUGAAUAUUACACGUCUGUCUUUUAUUUCUAGGGAUCCCUACAACCUACAGGAUAAGUUAAACCCAGCCAGACUGUGCUUGGGGAGCACUGGGGCCACACUGCAUAUAUCAUCCAUCAUUGGCCCAGGGGCUGCUGGUAAGGCAGCAGACAGCUCCUCGGCAUUGACGACGGGAGCUGCAUCCUAAUUCUCCAACUCGGAUCGCUCGGAACACUCACUCUCUACGCUCCUCCCCCGCCACCCAGGACGGAAAAUCGUUAACCCUGCAAUCUGGGAACAAAGCACAGAGCUUAGCCAGUCCACCAGAGCCUGCUGCUAGCGUCAUCUCUAUUACUCCUCAUAUUUAACAAUGUCUUACAGAUCACACACUCAUCAAUGAGAAUUGUGUUGUUACUGAGGUGAAAGAUAAGAAUUUUAAAAAUCAGUAAUAAUGUGAAGCCAUGGUCAUAAACGUUCUUUAGAUGGAUUAUUAUUAUACUGUAUUGCAUAAGUCAUA
rnacentral:lncRNA from 1 species